UUUGAAGUUUCCCUCAAAAUAACUGGAAAACGUAAUGAAGCUGUUAUAUUCGGUAAAGCGAAUGAUUAGCGGAAUUGUGGGACGAAACGACUUCAACCUAUUCUCAAACUUUCAAUGAGUAUGACGUCUUGCUUGCUUGAAUGAAGCGUAAAGAUUGAAUGUGUGCUUCACGUACGCCAUUUUUGAUAAGCAGAAUUGACGUUGUGGGAUGAACCAGACGUUGAGUUAAAGUGCAAAUCGAACUAACCAGUCAUAUCAUUGAUGGUGAUGGUUUUUCAUCACAAAGCAAGA
rnacentral:ncRNA from 1 species